GCUCCUGUAGUGUAGCUCGGUCCAUCAUUCCGGGUUUUCAUCCCGGCGACUCGGGUUCGAAUCCCGACAGGAGCACCA
rnacentral:tRNA from 1 species